rnacentral:lncRNA from 1 species
AUGGAUCAUCACCCACAGUCCUGGCACGCACACCUGCUCCUCAUGGUCAGGAUGCAGGUGAUGGUGAUAAGAAUGACUGGCCAGGGACUCAGGACUCGGGACUCAGCUCCAGGCUCAGAUAGAUCAAAGCCCUGCCCAGGUAGAAUCUUUUAGACCAGAUGGUUGAACUCGGAUUUCAGUGGGACAGCUCGCCUCCCGAAGUGUGCAUCUCUCUGCUCCUGACAGGCCUGAAGCUGCCAGUGUCACCACACACACACGGAGGACAGGUGGCAGGACACAUGUAUGGCCUGAUCAGCAGGUUCCAGCUCCACCCUGCCCUUCAGGCUGACAGACCAGCUCCUCUAAGGUCAGAGCCCAGCAUGCUCAGCUGAGCAGAACAUACGGUCCCUCCUUGGGAGCCUUUGAUAUUCUGGGCUGCAGCUGACUGAAAAGGACCAAAUUAUGACACCUGAUUCUUCAGGUCAGACACACCAAAUGGGGAGACCCAACUGAGACUUCCAGAGGCCUCGAGCAUGAAAAAAGAUUAUGAUUUCUUCCCUGCCAAUAUUUCAAAAUAAUAUACUAACAUGUGACAUAAGUAGACACUAUUUUGGGGCCAUCAACUAUCUGAUGCCAGAGAGCUUCCUUUGCCAUCCAGUUCCACUCCCCACUGCUCUGGGACCUGGGAAGGGAAAUGAACACACUGUUUCAACAAGUUCUCUUGUUCUUGGCUUCUGGUUGGGUUUAGCAAAUGGCAAACAGAGCAGGAGAUGAGAGGGAGGGAGGGAGGAAGGUAGAGUCCUGGGCUGGCUGUGGGUCUCUACCCCCUGCCCUCCCCACCCAGCCCUCUGUGUCUCCAAGUUCACGUUACCUUUCCAGGACCUAGGCCCCUCAGGCCAGGGAGGAAGCGGGGUUGCAGGGCCCUCUGUUAGUAGCCCAAGGACCCUGGACUAUCUUUUGUGGUUUCCCAGCACCUUUGUAACUAGUUCCCUUAUUAAACUCAACUUUGCUCAAUUCCAUUGUGUCACCUAUUUCCUGCUCGGACUUAAAUAAUGUCAAAUUAUUUCAAAAAUGUUUCCUUUGAUGCCCCAACUUUGUUGAUGUCUUCAGAACACCCUGAGCUUUUUUCUUAGUCAUCCAGUGCAUCCAGCGAGGGCCAGCCUAUAAUGCAAACAGAUCUGGAAGCUCCCAGGCUGGAGCCGCUACCCCUACAUCAUACACUGUUCAUGGGGGCAGAGGCCCUAAGGUGCACAG